ACUGGGGCAGCUGGGGGGGUGAAUAUUCUCAGCUCCUCCAGCUCCUCUCCAGGGUCCCCAGGGCCUGCUGCGUGCUCACAAAACACCAUGUUCUUCCAAGGCCCAGAAAGAAGGGCUUUCCCAAGUUCAACCAACACGCGUCCUUUAAAAAGCCACAUCGGAAGCGAGUUCUCCUUCCUGUCUCCUUGUGUGCUCUGGAACCACCAUUUCUUUGCUCCAUAGGGAACCUGAGCAUGAUGUCCCGGGUACUGGAGGGGCAACUCUGAAAUAAUCCCUGCUCCCCGCUCCACUGGGAUUAUCUGUAAUCAUGACGGUUUACUACAAAAGGAACGGUGCACUUCCGACCUGCCUUGGAGGACAUGAGGAACCCAGAGGUGGGGGAGCCUGGCCUCCGCUUCUCCCAGCCUCCAGCGGCACCCCAGGGGCAGGAGCAGGCUGCAUGGCCGCCGCCUGCAGGUCCCCUGCCCUGCCUUCUCCCCAGCACCCCUCCCUGCCCUUUGCCCAGUCCCACUCGUUUUCCUCUUCUUUGUUUCGCUCUCUGGGGUCCAGUGAAUCUCUGGGCAGUUUCUGGGUCCACCAAAAUAAAACAGUGAUGUCCUCCA